CGAAGGGGCUAGCGUUGCUCGGAAUCACUGGGCGUAAAGGGCGCGUAGGCGGCCGAUUAAGUCGGGGGUGAAAGCCUGUGGCUCAACCACAGAAUUGCCUUCGAUACUGGUUGGCUUGAGACCGGAAGAGGACAGCGGAACUGCGAGUGUAGAGGUGAAAUUCGUAGAUAUUCGCAAGAACACCAGUGGCGAAGGCGGCUGUCUGGUCCGGUUCUGACGCUGAGGCGCGAAAGCGUGGGGAGCAAACAGGAUU
rnacentral:rRNA from 1 species